rnacentral:lncRNA from 10 species
GUACACAGCAGGAAGCUGUGCUCUUCCUGAUGGACGUCAGCUCCUAUCUCUCCUGGGGAGUGGAGGCUGCUCUGGAGUGGGGCCAAGAUCGGGAGGCCCAGGAGAGAAAAGGGCCUGCAAUCUACCUCCCAGUCAACAAGAUGCUAUAAUAAAAACAUAGCCAACUGUCACUCAGCGUUUAUUACGGUGCCAGAUGAGGAAACAGGUGCAGAACCGUGGAGUAACCUGCGCAGGGUCUCCAGUAGAAAAACAGGCCCUUGGUCAGAUGAAUUUACCCACUUCGGCCACCAGGGGCGCUGUUGGCACAGCUUGAACUCGAGACCAGCGCUGUCCAACGGAAACCGAACCUCCAGCCAGGGGGACUGAGGGAAGGCUUCCCAGAGGCGGUGACCCUGACAUUGGGUUCCCAGGAGUGAAGAACAUUUUGACAAUCAGCAAGGAGAGCGUUCCAGACGAGGAAGCUGCAUGUUGAGGGAGAGAAAGGAGAAUAUUUUGCUCACUUUCAAUCGUUAUCGACUCAUCCCCCCAAAGCCGGCAAUAUCGACCCUGCCUUCCAACACACUUCUGGAGCUUG